UGGUUAGGUGCAGUCAUUCGUACCUGUUCCUCCUUCCAGAGGGCAGAUCAGAACAUGAUCAUUGGAGUUCUCACUGUAUGUGAUUAAUAUCUCUGCAUACUCAGGAACUGCAGUACCCUGACGGCUCCUGUCUGAU
ensembl:snoRNA U8 U8 small nucleolar RNA